rnacentral:rRNA from 1 species
AUUGAACGCUGGCGGCAGGCCUAACACAUGCAAGUCGAGCGGAUGAAGGGAGCUUGCUCCUGGAUUCAGCGGCGGACGGGUGAGUAAUGCCUAGGAAUCUGCCUGGUAGUGGGGGAUAACGUCCGGAAACGGGCGCUAAUAACGCAUACGUCCUGAGGGAGAAAGUGGGGGAUCUUCGGACCUCACGCUAUCAGAUGAGCCUAGGUCGGAUUAGCUAGUUGGUGGGGUAAAGGCCUACCAAGGCGACGAUGCGUAACUGGUCUGAGAGGAUGAUCAGUCACACUGGAACUGAGACACGGUCCAGACUCCUACGGGAGGCAGCAGUGGGGAAUAUUGGACAAUGGGCGAAAGCCUGAUCCAGCCAUGCCGCGUGUGUGAAGAAGGUCUUCGGAUUGUAAAGCACUUUAAGUUGGGAGGAAGGGCAGUAAGUUAAUACCUUGCUGUUUUGACGUUACCAACAGAAUAAGCACCGGCUAACUUCGUG